UUUGUUCAAAAAUUCCCUAAGAAAAAUGUUCCAUGCUUAUGCUAGCAGAUGUAGACUAGACAAAAUUAGUGGAUUUACUUUCAUUAGCUUCGAACCAAAAGGUUUAGCGUUACUGCUUGAUUGACUCAUUAUUAACAAGUUGGAUUAGAAUUCUAAUAUUCAGCCACUAAUGAACUUACAUCUUGAAUUUCUGUAUGGGUCUAUUGCAGACAUCUUCUGUUCUUUGAUAUGGAAUCUAACCACAAAGGAACAGGAAGGCUAUCUAGGCAUCUUCUUUUGACAAUUUCAGUCACUUCUUUAGGUAAAUUCAAAGCAGCAGCCACCAAAUGAGAACAAUUCUAUCAAGGUAAAAAAUGGGAAUCCAUCCGUGUUACUUUGGAAGGAAAGCGGAGAUAUGAAUCCAAAAUCUU
rnacentral:lncRNA from 1 species